rnacentral:lncRNA from 1 species
UUUAUGAACAUUUUGUUUAUAAUCUUAAUGUUGAAUUGUUCUCCACAGUCACUAGGUUAAAACUGAUGACUUAACGGUCUAAGACUAUAAGUAACACUUGCAUAAAAAAUGAGUAUAAUGAUCAGUUUGCUGGUAAAUACUGUUAGAUGUCUCUAGUAAAUAAACACAUUUACUUACUGUGAUAAAACUAGUAGCUUACAGUGAGCGAACAUCGAUUAUUCGAAUAUAAAACGUGAAUAUUUUAAUAAGUAAAAGUAAAAUGUAUUGAACAAAGUAGCCUACUAGUAAGAAAUGCUUACAAAGCCUAAAUCUCUCAUAUUAUCUAUCAUAUAUUAAAAUCAAUGAAUCAUUAAUAAAACGUAUGACAGUUGACUUUGUUAAAAAGUACCUUUCAUCUGAUUAACCCGAGUUGCUUGUGAGUAAGAUUCGUGAAUAGUUGACAAGUUAAUAUUGUUGUUUUAUGAGUGUGUCCAUGUGUGUGUGUGUGAAAAGAGACACUGCAAGAUAUCGUUUCCCUGUAAAACCUAAAACAUUUUCUUUCGCUAGAAAUUAUUCACAUUUUCCAUUACUAUAUCCUGAACACAGUGGCUAGCUGUUCUCACUGUAAUACUUCAGAGUAUACCACUUACAAACUACAGCGAGGUAUCGUUGGCCACAAACAAUUGUAAGGGAAAGUUAAUGGCAUACCAAGAGAACAUUCAAUAAAAUAUGUGAUUUCACUGACACCUACAGGCAUUCAAGAAGCUUCAAUAAAGUUUUCGUCGAUAAAGAUUGUAUUUCUAUAGUGAAAUGCAGAGGCUUUAUGACCAAUAGUAUGGUAUUAUAAACCCUUCAGUAUGUUGUUGUUGUUGCAGAGGCAAAACAUAUAGUAAACAAAGGAUUAUCAGCUCAUCACGUUUUCUUUUGUUUGUUUUUUCUGGACGAGUUGUCUCUGCCCAUCUGUCAAUUAAAAUCGUAUUUUGUUAUGAGGUGAUAUUUGAUACAUUUCACGUUUCACAUAUGACGUUAACGUGUUUUCUUUUUUUAAUUCUCGUUCACCACUAUAACAAAUAGUUGGUGUAGUUUAGGCCAGGCCACAAUGGCUGCUAGUUCCCAUAGUCCGGUCCCUGCUCUAAUAACUAGGUUUUUCUUGUGGAAAAAUACAAGUAAGUGUCCUGUUUUGUAUUCAUACCUGAAGGUGUCACUUUUUUGUCAAGUCCACAGACUCGGAGAGAACAGUAUUUUUUGGUGAACCAAACCUGCGUGGUUGGUGAAUGUCACGAGGGUAUAAUGAUUUGUGUGUGUGUGUGUUAUCUCGAGUACCGUCCAUACAUACAUCCAUUCGUGCAGUUUACAGAAAAACUGAAUUAUGUAAUAUUAGUUACAGUCGUCAGGGACGCAGGGGUUUAUGGAAAUCUUCUAACAUUUCAGUGUAAUAUGGCCAUAACAUAAUUCUAUAGCUGUGAUAACUCUUAAAAGAGCUUAAUAUAGGAAAACUCGACAUAUCGGAUUGCGCAUGUCAACAAAGUGCCUGCCUUCAUCCUUUUUCAUUCCACUUUCAUGGUUCUUCCAGCUUGUGCACAGGGUCUAAAAACAGUCCAUUACUCAGAUCUUCACUAUAUACCUGUAAGCCUCUGCCUAUCGCCAUUAUGACUGUUUAAGUUGAAGGACAUUGUUUCUAAUGAAUGGUGUGUGGAAGCAGGGAUCUUGCAGUGUCUCCACUCAUAGGUAUAUUUAUUUUAAUUCACACUUUGAUAAACUCUCGUUUUUGAUGUAUUACUCCAGUUUGGUUCUUGUACACUUAUCCCUGUGAAUAAGUUUGCCAAAUAAAAUGUUUAAAAUUAA